UACGUAGGUGGCAAGCGUUGUCCGGAUUUACUGGGCGUAAAGAGCGCGCAGGCGGUCGGAUCAGUCGAAUGUGAAAGCCCCCCGGCUCAACUGGGGAGGGUCAUUCGAUACUGUCCGACUCGAAGGCAGGAGAGGGAAGCGGAAUUCCCGGUGUAGUGGUGAAAUGCGUAGAUAUCGGGAGGAACACCAGUGGCGAAGGCGGCUUUCUGGCCUGUUCUUGACGCUGAGGCGCGAAAGCUAGGGGAGCGAACGGG
rnacentral:rRNA from 1 species